CCCUAGUGUUGACAGUAGGUUACUUGCCAAUAUUUUUUAUACCCCUUCCAAAUUUAUUUCUCCAUGUUUUAUGCCUCAAAUUGCAAGUAGGGGGGGGGGAAAUUACACUGUAAAAAAAUUGGGUCCAGAAUUUUAAAGGAAAGUAGUGAUUUGGUCCAGCUGAAAAAGGUUAAACAUUAGCACUUCGGAAGCUGUCAAAUGAUUUCAAGACGACCUAAACAUAAAAUUGUCCAUAUAUUGAGUUAGAGCCGAUGAAGUCUUCUAUAAUUUUGAUA
rnacentral:lncRNA from 1 species